AUUGAACGCUGGCGGCAGGCCUAACACAUGCAAGUCGAACGAGUGGCGGACGGGUGAGUAAUGUAUGGGAAACUGCCUGAUGGAGGGGGAUAACUACUGGAAACGGUAGCUAAUACCGCAUACCAUCAGAUGUGCGCAGAUGGGAUUAGCUGGUAGGUGGGGUAACGGCUCACCUAGGCGACGAUCCCUAGCUGGUCUGAGAGGAUGAACAGCCACCCGGGAACUGAGACGCGGUCCAGACUCCUACGGGAGGCAGCAGUGGGGAAUAUUGCACAAUGGGCGCAAGCCUAAUGCAGCCAUGCCGCGUGGGUGAAGAAGGCCUGCGGGUUGUAAAGCACUUUCAGCGGGGAGGCGUUACCCGCAGAAGAAGCACCGGCUAACUCCGUGCCAGCAGCCGCGGUAAUUC
rnacentral:rRNA from 1 species